GCCUACGACCAUAUCACCCUGAAUGCGCCCGAUCUCGUCUGAUCUCGGAAGCUAAGCAUGGUCGAGCCUGGUUAGUACUUGGAUAGGAGACUGCCUGGGAAUACCAGGUGUUGUAGGCU
rnacentral:rRNA from 1 species